rnacentral:rRNA from 2 species
GGACUACCGGGGUUUCUAAUCCUGUUUGCUCCCCACGCUUUCGUGCAUGAGCGUCAGUCAUAGCCCAGGGGGCUGCCUUCGCCAUCGGUGUUCCUCCACAUCUCUACGCAUUUCACUGCUACACGUGGAAUUCCACCCCCCUCUGCCUGACUCCAGUCUUGCAGUCACAACCGCAGUUCCCAGGUUAAGCCCGGGGAUUUCACAGCUGUCUUACAAAACCGCCUGCGCACGCUUUACGCCCAGUAAUUCCGAUUAACGCUCGCACCCUACGUAUUACCGCGGCGGCUGGCAC